CAGCCGCCGCGGGAAUACGAAGGGUGCAAGCGUUAAUCGGAAUUACUGGGCGUAAAGCGCGCGUAGGUGGUUCAUUAAGUUGGAUGUGAAAGCCCUGGGCUCAACCUGGGAACUGCAUCCAAAACUGGUGAGCUAGAGUACGGUAGAGGGUAGUGGAAUUUCCGGUGUAGCAGUGAAAUGCGUAGAGAUCGGAAGGAACAUCUGUGGCGAAGGCGACUAUCUGGGCCAACACUGACACUGAGGCACGAAAGCGUGGGGAGCAAACAGGAUUAGAUACCCGGGUAGUCCCUGUCUCUUAUAU
rnacentral:rRNA from 1 species